CACGUAGGGGGCGAGCGUUGUCCGGAUUUAUUGGGCGUAAAGAGCUCGUAGGCGGUUCGCUAAGUCGGGUGUGAAACCUCCAGGCUCAACCUGGAGACGCCACCUGAUACUGGUGUGACUAGAGUCCGGUAGGGGAGUGUGGAACUCCUGGUGUAGCGGUGAAAUGCGCAGAUAUCAGGAAGAACACCAGCGGCGAAGGCGGCACUCUGGGCCGGUACUGACGCUGAGGAGCGAAAGCGUGGGUAGCAAA
rnacentral:rRNA from 1 species